UGCCUAGCCGUAAACAAUUAACUUACACCAAUCAGCGCCAGGGGAUUACGAGCAAUGCUUAAAACCCAAAGGAUUUGACGGUGUCCCACCCCACCUAGAGGAGCCUGUUUUUUAAUCGAUAAUCCCCGAUACACCCGACCACUCCUAGCUAAUCAGUCUGUAUACCUCCGUCGAAAGCUUACCAUGUGAACGUUUACAGUAGGCCUAAUGAUCCCCAUCAAUACGUCAGGUCAAGGUGCAGCUCACGGAAUGGGAAGUAAUGGGCUACAAUUUCUAAAAUAGAACAAACGAAAGACUAUGUGAAACCAUAGUAGCGAAGGCGGAUUUAGUAGUAAAAAGAAAAUAGAGAGUUCUUUUUAACUUGGCUCUGGGACGCGU
rnacentral:rRNA from 1 species